GACGUAGGGCGCGAGCGUUGUCCGGAUUUAUUGGGCGUAAAGAGCUCGUAGGCGGCUUGUCGCGUCGUCCGUGAAAACCAGGGGCUCAACCCCUGGCUUGCGGUCGAUACGGGCAGGCUAGAGUUCGGUAGGGGAGACUGGAAUUCCUGGUGUAGCGGUGAAAUGCGCAGAUAUCAGGAGGAACACCGGUGGCGAAGGCGGGUCUCUGGGCCGAUACUGACGCUGAGGAGCGAAAGCUAGGGGAGCAAACAGG
rnacentral:rRNA from 1 species